rnacentral:lncRNA from 1 species
GAGAGCAUGAGCCUGGAACUAAGUUCGUGAAACUGCUCUCCUGUUGUUCUUCCCUCGGGUUUGGGACCUGCUGGCAGGAUUCUGACGUUGCAGCUCGCGACAUACUAACUCAGAGCCCUCUUCCAGAAUCUACUUUAAGAACAAUUCAUCAACAGAUGCUGCCAAGCUUCCUAGUGCACUAAAGCCAAGCUUGUAAUGGAACAUCAAGCAGCUGUGGAUGGUUAGAGGCAGCAAAUCGUUCCUCAGUCAUGGGCUCCAGGAUGAAGAAAAGGGUCUCCAUCACUUCUUCCACAACUCUUCUCUGAUCAUCACCCAUGAACAGAUUUUACAUCUUCCAAGUUAAAGGCAGGGAAGGAGCAUCUUCAGAGAUGGAGAGAUUAUGCAGAAUGAAACAGAAAUCUUUAUGAUUCAAAUAAACAUUAAAAACAACUCUAGCAAUUUCGAG